rnacentral:misc_RNA from 1 species
GAUGAAGAACGCAGCGAAAUGCGAUAAGUAAUGUGAAUUGCAGAAUUCAGUGAAUCAUCGAAUCUUUGAACGCACAUUGCGCCCGCCAGUAUUCUGGCGGGCAUGCCUGUUCGAGCGUCAUUACAACCCUCAGGCCCCCGGGCCUGGCGUUGGGAUCGGCGGAAGCCCCCUGCGGGCACAACGCCGUCCCCCAAAUACAGUGGCGGUCCCGCCGCAGCUUCCAUUGCGUAGUAGCUAACACCUCGCAACUGGAGAGCGGCGCGGCCACGCCGUAAAACACCCAACUUCUGAAUGUUGACCUCGAAUCAGGUAGGAAUACCCGCUGAACUUAAGCAUAUCAAUAGCGGAGGA